rnacentral:misc_RNA from 1 species
CGGGAAGUUGACAUUAUAUCCUCAUUACAUCACAGAAACAUAACUCCCUUUCUCGGUAUCUGCAUCGUAGACGAUAAAUUGAUCUCUGUUUAUGAUUUCUUUUCCAAAGGAAGUUUAGAGGAAAAUCUAUAUGAUAAGAACAAAGAAAAAAACAUACUUUCAUGGGAGGUAAGAUUCAGAUUGGCUAUUGGAAUUGCGGAAGCACUAAACUACCUACAUGAUG